AGCUUUGCGCAGUGGCAGUAUCGUAGCCAAUGAGGUUUGUCCAAGGCGCAAUUAUUGCUAAUUGAAAAUAGAGUCACUGAGUAAUUUUGUUAUAGCCUUUCUCCAAAUAAAAACAUUUUCAAGCCACUGAAAAUAUUCUCUCAAUA
rfam:Tupaia chinensis contig83610, whole genome shotgun sequence.